rnacentral:misc_RNA from 1 species
UCCGGUUUAACACCGGCAGUCUCCUCAGAGUGCUCAACUUAAUGGUAGCAACUAAGGACAAGGGUUGCGCUCGUUGCGGGACUUAACCCAACAUUUCACAACACGAGCUGACGACAGCCAUGCAGCACCUGUCUCUCUGUCCCCGAAGGGAAACCUACAUCUCUGUAGGCGUCAGAGGAUGUCAAACCCAGGUAAGGUUCUGCGCGUUGCUUCGAAUUAAACCACAUACUCCACCGCUUGUGCGGGCCCCCGUCAAUUCCUUUGAGUUUUAGUCUUGCGACCGUACUCCCCAGGCGGGAUACUUAAUGCGUGUGCUACGGUACUCAGAGGGUUAAUUCUCCAAACACCUAGUAUCCAUCGUUUACGGUGCGGACUAC